rnacentral:rRNA from 1 species
UUAAGUUAUUAAGGGCGCACGGUGGAUGCCUUGGCACUAGAAGCCGAUGAAGGACGUUACUAACGACGAUAUGCUUUGGGGAGCUGUAAGUAAGCUUUGAUCCAGAGAUUUCCGAAUGGGGAAACCCAGCAUGAGUUAUGUCAUGUUAUCGAUAUGUGAAUACAUAGCAUAUCAGAAGGCACACCCGGAGAACUGAAACAUCUUAGUACCCGGAGGAAGAGAAAGAAAAUUCGAUUCCCUUAGUAGCGGCGAGCGAAACGGGAAGAGCCCAAACCAACAAGCUUGCUUGUUGGGGUUGUAGGACACUCUAUACGGAGUUACAAAGGACGACAUUAGACGAAUCAUCUGGAAAGAUGAAUCAAAGAAGGUAAUAAUCCUGUAGUCGAAAAUGUUGUCUCUCUUGAGUGGAUCCUGAGUACGACGGAGCACGUGAAAUUCCGUCGGAAUCUGGGAGGACCAUCUCCUAAGGCUAAAUACUCUCUAGUGACCGAUAGUGAACCAGUACCGUGAGGGAAAGGUGAAAAGCACCCCGGAAGGGGAGUGAAAUAGAACCUGAAACCGUGUGCUUACAAGUAGUCAGAGCCCGUUAAUGGGUGAUGGCGUGCCUUUUGUAGAAUGAACCGGCGAGUUACGAUUUGAUGCAAGGUUAAGCAGUAAAUGUGGAGCCGUAGCGAAAGCGAGUCUGAAUAGGGCGUUUAGUAUUUGGUCGUAGACCCGAAACCAGGUGAUCUACCCUUGGUCAGGUUGAAGUUCAGGUAACACUGAAUGGAGGACCGAACCGACUUACGUUGAAAAGUGAGCGGAUGAACUGAGGGUAGCGGAGAAAUUCCAAUCGAACCUGGAGAUAGCUGGUUCUCUCCGAAAUAGCUUUAGGGCUAGCCUCAAGUGAUGAUUAUUGGAGGUAGAGCACUGUUUGGACGAGGGGCCCCUCUCGGGUUACCGAAUUCAGACAAACUCCGAAUGCCAAUUAAUUUAACUUGGGAGUCAGAACAUGGGUGAUAAGGUCCGUGUUCGAAAGGGAAACAGCCCAGACCACCAGCUAAGGUCCCAAAAUAUAUGUUAAGUGGAAAAGGAUGUGGCGUUGCCCAGACAACUAGGAUGUUGGCUUAGAAGCAGCCAUCAUUUAAAGAGUGCGUAAUAGCUCACUAGUCGAGUGACACUGCGCCGAAAAUGUACCGGGGCUAAACAUAUUACCGAAGCUGUGGAUUGUCCUUUGGACAAUGGUAGGAGAGCGUUCUAAGGGCGUUGAAGCAUGAUCGUAAGGACAUGUGGAGCGCUUAGAAGUGAGAAUGCCGGUGUGAGUAGCGAAAGACGGGUGAGAAUCCCGUCCACCGAUUGACUAAGGUUUCCAGAGGAAGGCUCGUCCGCUCUGGGUUAGUCGGGUCCUAAGCUGAGGCCGACAGGCGUAGGCGAUGGAUAACAGGUUGAUAUUCCUGUACCACCUAUAAUCGUUUUAAUCGAUGGGGGGGACGCAGUAGGAUAGGCGAAGCGUGCGAUUGGAUUGCACGUCUAAGCAGUAAGGCUGAGUAUUAGGCAAAUCCGGUACUCAUUAAGGCUGAGCUGUGAUGGGGAGAAGACAUUGUGUCUUCGAGUCGUUGAUUUCACACUGCCGAGAAAAGCCUCUAGAUAGAAAAUAGGUGCCCGUACCGCAAACCGACACAGGUAGUCAAGAUGAGAAUUCUAAGGUGAGCGAGCGAACUCUCGUUAAGGAACUCGGCAAAAUGACCCCGUAACUUCGGGAGAAGGGGUGCUCUUUAGGGUUAACGCCCAGAAGAGCCGCAGUGAAUAGGCCCAAGCGACUGUUUAUCAAAAACACAGGUCUCUGCUAAACCGUAAGGUGAUGUAUAGGGGCUGACGCCUGCCCGGUGCUGGAAGGUUAAGAGGAGUGGUUAGCUUCUGCGAAGCUACGAAUCGAAGCCCCAGUAAACGGCGGCCGUAACUAUAACGGUCCUAAGGUAGCGAAAUUCCUUGUCGGGUAAGUUCCGACCCGCACGAAAGGCGUAACGAUUUGGGCACUGUCUCAACGAGAGACUCGGUGAAAUCAUAGUACCUGUGAAGAUGCAGGUUACCCGCGACAGGACGGAAAGACCCCGUGGAGCUUUACUGUAGCCUGAUAUUGAAAUUCGGCACAGCUUGUACAGGAUAGGUAGGAGCCUUUGAAACGUGAGCGCUAGCUUACGUGGAGGCGCUGGUGGGAUACUACCCUAGCUGUGUUGGCUUUCUAACCCGCACCACU